GGCUUUCGGGCUGAGUAGAGCGGCGGACGGGUGAGUAACGCGUAGGAAUCUACCUGGUAGUGGGGGACAACUUGGGGAAACUCAAGCUAAUACCGCAUACGCCCCAAGGGGGAAAGCGGGGGACCUUCGGGCCUCGCGCUAUCAGAUGAGCCUGCGUAGGAUUAGCUUGUUGGUGAGGUAAAGGCUCACCAAGGCGACGAUCCUUAGCUGGUCUGAGAGGAUGAUCAGCCACACUGGGACUGAGACACGGCCCAGACUCCUACGGGAGGCAGCAGUGGGGAAUAUUGCGCAAUGGGGGCAACCCUGACGCAGCCAUGCCGCGUGUGUGAAGAAGGCCUUCGGGUUGUAAAGCACUUUAAGUGGGGAGAAAAGGGUAGCGGUUAAUAGCCGUUACCUGUGAUGUUACCCACAGAAUAAGCACCGGCUAACUCCGUGCCAGCAGCCGCGGUAAUACGGAGGGUGCGAGCGUUAAUCGGAAUUACUGGGCGUAAAGCGCGCGUGGCGGUUUGUUAAGUCAGCUGUGAAAGCCCCGGGCUCAACCUGGGAACUGCAGUUGAUACUG
rnacentral:rRNA from 1 species